ensembl:lincRNA
AUACCUUGAUAGAGGGAGCCAUUAUGGGCUUAAGGAGAAACACAGCACUAGGGAAAUUCCCAGGAAUCUGAAAGGAUGACCCCCAACUGUAGGGGAAGCUGUAGCCACGCCUUCUUAGGGGCUGGCUACAGGUGUGCCUGACCAGGCUUGUGAGGGCGUGGUCAGAGUGACGUGGUGGGACUGCGUUUUCGGUUUCGGUUUCUCUUUUGCUUCUUGCUGUAGAGGCUGCUGCCACAGGCUGGCUAGGUUGCUCUGUCGCAGUAACUAUGUUUGACCAGCAGACGGCACAGGUGGCCAGUUGUGGUGGCGCAGGUGUGUUUCUAAACAGAGUUGAGCUGCGGAUGGCUAAGUUGUUCUCAAAACAAUCUGAAAAAUAUCUGAAUGACUUUUGGACUGAGUUAGAACAGAUGGAAGUGAUGAGGUAUUGUCAAAAGGUUGACAAAAAGUUUUUGCUUGUUUGAAUCACUCAGAUAAAAUGUUAUUUGCUAUUGUUUAUAGAGGGAAAGACUGAAGUGGAAUAUGUAUGCUGUAUGAAUUUCUCUACAUUUCCUUCUAAUGGAAUAAUGCUAAGAAGCUUCCUAUUUCCCAUACAAUUUCAUGUUAACAAAAAAUGCUUCUUGUUGCUAAUGAAGGAAAUUCCCAUUUUUUCCACCAUCAUCAAAUCCCGGACACUUCCUGAAGAGUAAGUUGAAGACUGAAACAACGAAGGAAAAAAUCCUAUGCUCAAGAGAAAUGACACCUCUACUCCCGUUGGAAACUUUCUUUAGCUUCAAGGCUUACUAACUUUACAGGACCUCUUUGCCCUGUGAGUGAACAAGGGAACUUUUGUGCUGUUGCUUCUUUGACCAACCUGAAAUCCUAAAACCUUUUCUUAUGUACCAGGAGUCCAAUAAAUGAAGAAUACCAGCUCUGAAUCCAUGGGUCUUCCCUGGACUGACUAGCCUUUUAUUUUCCCCCUAAAAUUGCAAAUAGGCUAUGAGUUUUUAUGUUCCUUUUUUUACAAAUAAUUUAUUGUGAUGUAAUUGAUGUACAAAACUAGACAUAUUCAAUGUGUACAAUUUAUUGUGUAAAAAGGAAACUCCUGUGACAAACACACCUAACAUAUAUUCAUAGGUUCCUUUUGUGUCUGUUUUCAUUAUUGUAGGUUUUGUGAAUUUAAUAACAUUUAACAUAACCAGUUUUGAACUGCACAUAAUACUUCAUUGCUAUAUACAAGCAUUGUUAUAUAGCAAAUCUCAAGAUCUCACUUAUGGAUUUAAACAAAGAGUUUGUAACUACUAAACAAAGGCCACAUUUUUCCCAUCUGGCAGUCCCUAGAAGUACACAGAAGUAGGAGCACAUAGGAUUUGUUUAUGAGUGGAUUAUUUAACUUUGCAUAAUCUUCUCAAGGUUCAUCAACUCAUAAACAAGGGAAAUUUCUUCAUAAAACGAAUUAACAUACAUUUCUAUACCAUCUUUUAUUUAUUAAUUUUUUGAUGAAUAUAUAUGAUGGUAUAGCUUGCCUAUUAUAAAUAAUGAUGCAGUAGACAUGGGAGUGCAUGUAUCUCUUAGAGAUCUUGAUUUCAGCUGAUUUGAAUAUAUAAUGAAAAUUGUAUGAUGUGUUACAAGAAAGCUCUAUUUUUAAAAUUUUCAUAGCUCCAUUUCUUUUCCAUAGCUGUUGUACCCCUUUACAUUCACCAACAACAGUGAUCAAGAGUUUUACUCUCUGUCUCCUCAUCCCACCCCAUCCACUCCUCAGAGAGGGUGAGGCCUCCUAUGGGAGAUCAUGAAAUUUGUCACAUCAUUUGGGGCAAGACCAAGGCCCCCUUUCCCACUGUAUCUAGGCUGAGCAAGGUAUCCCUUACUGGUAUGUGAAAUAAGAUUGUUUCAAAAAUUAAAAAAAGAGCUUCACUCUGUCUAUAUCAUUGGCAAGAGAUUUUAAAAUUUCUGUUUGAUGUUUUGAGACAAUAUGUAGAUAUGUAGCGCUAGUUAGCCUAAAACCCACUAAGUAGACCAGGCUGGCCUACAAUUCAGGAUACUUUGUGAGUGCUAGAUUACAGGUAUGUGCCACCAUGACCAAUAUUUGAUUAAUUUCUAAUCUUUGUUUUGAUAUUACAGGAAGGCCUUAUGUAUUUUGGAAAUUGGCCCCUUAUUCAGAUAUGUGGCCCUCAGGUAUAUUCUCCUAUUUCAUAGGUGACUUUUUUCUGUUGCCUUGCUGUGCAAAAACUGUUUUUAAAUUUUUUAUGUAGCACCACUAACACAAUGUUUUUGAUGUCAGCACUUCACAAGCAACCAUUACCAAAGCCAGUAACAAAUAGGUUUCCCCCUGUUUACUUGUAGGUAUUUUUCAAUUUCAAGCUUUAUUAUCAAAUUUUUCAUCCAUUUUCAGUUGAUUUUCACAGAUGUUUUUAAGGUAGGAAUAAUUUUUUUCAUCCCCCCCUUUUUUUGUUUGUGGAGAUACAUGCAAGUUUUAUGUGAAUACAAGUCAACCUCAUCCCAGUAAGAAUAAUUAAUUGGCACCAAGAAAAAAAGCAUCAGGGCUGUUGAGAUGGCUUUGUGGGUAAAGAUGCUUGCUGUCAAGCUUG